rnacentral:rRNA from 1 species
UACGUAGGAUGCAAGCGUUGUCCGGAAUUAUUGGGCGUAAAGAGCUUGUAGGCGGUUUGUCGCGUCUGCUGUGAAAAUCCGGGGCUCAACCCCGGACUUGCAGUGGGUACGGGCAGACUAGAGUGUGGUAGGGGAGACUGGAAUUCCUGGUGUAGCGGUGAAGUGCGCAGAUAUCAGGAGGAACACCGAUGGCGAAGGCAGGUCUCUGGGCCACUACUGACGCUGAGAAGCGAAAGCAUGGGGAGCGAACAGG